rnacentral:rRNA from 1 species
AGUGAACGCUGGCGGUAGGCCUAACACAUGCAAGUCGAACGGCAGCACUGUAAGAGCUUGCUCUUACGGGUGGCGAGUGGCGGACGGGUGAGGAAUACAUCGGAAUCUACUUUUUCGUGGGGGAUAACGUAGGGAAACUUACGCUAAUACCGCAUACGACCUACGGGUGAAAGCAGGGGAUCUUCGGACCUUGCGCGAUUGAAUGAGCCGAUGUCGGAUUAGCUAGUUGGCGGGGUAAAGGCCCACCAAGGCGACGAUCCGUAGCUGGUCUGAGAGAAUGAUCAGCCACACUGGAACUGAGACACGGUCCAGACUCCUACGGGAGGCAGCAGUGGGGAAUAUUGGACAAUGGGCGCAAGCCUGAUCCAGCCAUACCGCGUGGGUGAAGAAGGCCUUCGGGUUGUAAAGCCCUUUUGUUGGGAAAGAAAAGCAGCAGGUUAAUACCCCGCUGUUCUGACGGUACCCAAAGAAUAAGCACCGGCUAACUUCGUG